rnacentral:rRNA from 1 species
UGAAUACGAGACGCUAAGGCGUCGAAGUAGUGUAUGUCAUACUUCCAAGAAAAGCUUGCACUGUCAUAGAUAAAAAACGCCUGUACCAUAACCGACACAGGUGGGUAGGUAGAGUAUACUAAGGGGCGCGAGAUAACUCUCUCUAAGGAACUCGGCAAAAUAACUCCGUAACUUCGGGAGAAGGAGUGCCUUAUUCGUAAGGUUGCAAUAACAAGAUCCAAGCAACUGUUUAUCAAAAACACAGGUCUCCGCUAAGUCGUAAGACGAUGUAUGGGGGCUGACGCCUGCCCAGUGCCAGAAGGUUAAAGAAGUUGGUUAGCAAUUGCGAAGCUGAUAACCGAAGCCCUGGUGAACGGCGGCCGUAACAAUAACGGUCCUAAGGUAGCGAAAUUCCUUGUCGGGUAAGUUCCGACCCGCACGAAAGGCGUAAUGAUUUGGAUACUGUCUCGGAGAGGGGCUCGGUGAAAUAGACUUGUCUGUGAAGAUGCGGACUACCUGCACCAGGACAGAAAGACCCUACGAAGCCUUACUGUAACUUGAAAUUGAAAUUGGACUUUAUUCGCGCAGUAUAGGUGGGAGGCGUUGAUUAUAAUCUUGUGGGAUUAUUGGAGCCAUCAGUGAGAUACCACUCUUGUAAUGUUAGAUUUCUAACUUUGAAUCAUUAUCUGGUCAAAGAACAGUUUCAGGCGGGCAGUUUGACUGGGGCGGUCGCCUCCUAAACGGUAACGGAGGCGUACAAAGGUUUCCUCUGAACGGUUAGAAAUCGUAUCUAGAGUGUAAAGGCAUAAGGAAGCUUGACUGUGAGACCUACAAGUCGAGCAGGGACGAAAGUCGGUCUUAGUGAUCUGACGGUACUGAGUGGAAAGGCCGUCACUCAACGGAUAAAAGUUACUCUAGGAUAACAGGCUGAUCUCCCCCAAGAGUUCACAUCGACGGGGAGGUUUGGCACCUCGAUGUCGGCUCAUCGCAUCCUGGGGCGGUAGUACGUCCCAAGGGUUGGGCUGUUCGCCCAUGAAAGCGGUACGCGAGCUGGGUUCAGAACGUCGUGAGACAGUUCGGUCCAUAUCCGGUGUAGGCGUUAGAAUAUUGAGAGGAGCCUUCUUUAGUACGAGAGGACCGAGAAGGACAUACCUCUGGUGUACCAGUUAUCGUGCCAACGGUAAACGCUGGGUAGCUAUGUAUGGAGUGGAUAACCGCUGAAAGCAUCUAAGUGGGAAGCCCACCUCAAGAUAAGUAUUCUCAUC